rnacentral:lncRNA from 1 species
AUGGUGGAGGAGAUUUCACGCCUCUCUGGGCUGUCCAGAGAUGCGGUCGUGGGACUGAUGGAGCAAGGUGUUGAGCUGGAUAUUGAUUGCUUUGAUGUGGAUGCACCAGAUGACAUGAGGGGCCAUGGUAAACACCGUCUGAUGACUCAAACGGACCAAGCUCUUGACUACACAAAGGAAUCAACUCCGCAGAAACCCAUUCAGUUGUCUCUAAGUGUCACACAUUCACCGCAGUCUCAAAACAGCCGGACGCCUCCUCUCUCACACACCAGCAGCCCUGUACAUCCUUACCAAUCCAAUUACAUGCCUGCUCCACACUAUCCCCCACAUUACUACACGCAUGAACUCCCCUCUUCCACUGCAUCCUCUCCUGCCAUCCGGGCAACCCCACGGGCCAGAUCUCCUCCUCAUCCACUACAGCCCUCUCCCAUGGGUGCCACUCCUUUAUCUUUUUUCGUCGGGAUGCUCCCUUUCAAUGUUCACUACCCAGGACUAACACAAGGAGCUCUGCUGUGGAUCAUUGUGGCAUUCCGCCUAGAGGAGGGUCACUUCGGCAGAGUGGAGAAGGGGGAUGGAAAAGAGGUGAAGGCCAGGGACUUUACAGAGGGAAGCAUGCCUCGCACAAACUCAUCAGGGCAGGCACAGUCAGCAGCCACGCCAAAAGAGAGGACUACAGCACUGGUUGGACUGAGGAAAAGGAAAUGGAAAGAGGAGCUCAAACACCUAAGAGGAGCUCCACCAAAGUAUGGAGUCGAUUUGAGGGACGUCUGUUUGGAAAAGACUCUGAAAGUGAGCGGGAGGAGAAUGACAGAGCCGAGUAUGGCUUUGGAUGGAGGAGAAAUACUGGUGGAAGCUACAGGAGGGAACAGGACAAGACAUUGUUUUGGAAUAAUGACCCAAAAGGAGGAUAUUCCCCCAUGUUUUCAAAGAGAGAAGGCAAAGAUGAUGGAGAAAGGCUUAGCUCCAGCCUUAGGCUUUCUCGAAGAGCCCUCUUUAGGAGUGAGUCCCAGGGUCUGCUUGUGA